UGCAUGGCCUUGCCGUAAGUUGAGGACCAGGAUAUGUGUGUGAGUCGUUAUCUUGUACUGCUAUUUAAGUCAAGAAAAGGAAUGAGAAAAGAGCCGAGAGGGCUGGAGAAAAAUGUAGCCAUCGUUGUGUUCACCAAGGGGCAGGGCCUCUCCGCAAAGCUCUUGUGCUCUUCCUUGGUGUGUGUGUGUGUGUGUGUGUGUGUGUGUAGAGUUUCUCCAUGGUGUGUGUUCAUGAGAGAUGAGAGGAAGAAGAAGAGCGGCGCUGCAAGGAGUCGGCGCCAACAAGUUUCACAUGUGUACUUUUUAUUUUUGGUGCAGAAUUAACAAUUUUCAGUAUGUGGUCGCAAGCAGCAUCAAAUCCAGCUGCUUGCCCCAACUCCUCCAUGUCUUCUCCCACCUCCUUCUGGGGGUUAACGGGUUCGCAAGGCAGCCUGUUCAGAGGCGUUAGAAGGGCCGAAGAGGCUGGCUAACAAUCCGACCUAAACAAAGGAAGAAAACACUCUUUAUUUGUAGUCUGGACUGAGUACUCGGUAACACAUGUCAAACUGUGAAUGGCUAGAAAAAACGACCUAAACCAAAUACAAAAACAGACGUGUGUUCAUUAGUAACUCCCAAGAGUGGCACUUCCCUGCGUGCUUAGUGCGGACCUGGCUUCUGUGUGGCCCCUUUUUGUGCUCUCCUCGUCGGCACCCGAGGUAUGGAAUGUCAUGACCGUGACCUCGUAGGGCAUCCAAACGGAAGGAACAACCUCCUGCUCUGGAGUCAUUGCGAGGUCGUACGGUGCCAUACACAUGAGCUCCGGCUGCGCAAAGGGAGUGGCUGGGCUUAUGGACUCCCAUCACUCAAGAGUAAGAUGGACAAAGGGAUUAGGUGGGAGAGGAUACAUGUAUUUGUUUUCCUCCAAUAUUUCAGAUAGACAGAAGCUGGAUAAAGACUAAAGAGGGAAGCAAAUCUGAGAACAUAUCACACUGACUCGCUUGGCAUCCUAAGAUGAUAGUGGAGUAUAUAUAGGGCUUCCAUGAAUCUUAUGUAUUAGUUAGCUCUUUCUAAGAAAAAUAAAAUAAAUAUUGAGCAUGGAA